CCUACGGGUGGCUGCAGUGAGGAAUAUUGGUCAAUGGACGAGAGUCUGAACCAGCCAAGUAGCGUGAAGGAUGACUGCCCUAUGGGUUGUAAACUUCUUUUAUAUGGGAAUAAAAUGUUCCACGUGUGGGAUUUUGUAUGUACCAUAUGAAUAAGGAUCGGCUAACUCCGUGCCAGCAGCCGCGGUAAUACGGAGGAUCCGAGCGUUAUCCGGAUUUAUUGGGUUUAAAGGGAGCGUAGGUGGAUUGUUAAGUCAGUUGUGAAAGUUUGCGGCUCAACCGUAAAAUUGCAGUUGAAACUGGCAGUCUUGAGUACAGUAGAGGUGGGCGGAAGUCGUGGUGUAGCGGUGAAAUGCGUAGAUAUCACGAAGAACUCCGAUUGCGAAGGCAGUUCACUGGACUGCAACUGACACUGAGGCUCGAAAGUGUGGGUAUCAAACAGGAUUAGAUACCCGUGUAGUC
rnacentral:rRNA from 1 species